UAAUACGUAGGGUCCAAGCGUUGUCCGGAUUUAUUGGGCGUAAAGAGCUCGUAGGCGGUUCGGUAAGUCGGAUGUGAAAACUCAGGGCUCAACCCGGAGACGCCAUCCGAUACUGCUGUGACUUGAGUCUGGUAGGGGAACACGGAAUACCUGGUGUAGCGGUGAAAUGCGCAGAUAUCAGGUGGAACACCGAUGGCGAAGGCAGUGUUCUGGGCCAGUACUGACGCUGAGGAGCGAAAGCGUGGGGAGCAAACAGGAUUAGAUACCCUGGUAGUCCACGCCGUAAACGUUGGGCACUAGGUGUGGGUCCUCAUCAACGGGAUCCGUGCCGUAGCUAACGCAUUAAGUGCCCCGCCUGGGGAGUACGGCCGCAAGGCUA
rnacentral:rRNA from 1 species